rnacentral:rRNA from 1 species
GGUCUGGCAAUUGGAAUGAGAGCAAUUUAAAUCCCUUAUCGAGUAUCAAUUGGAGGGCAAGUCUGGUGCCAGCAGCCGCGGUAAUUCCAGCUCCAAUAGCGUAUAUUAAAGUUGUUGCAGUUAAAAAGCUCGUAGUUGGAUUUCUGGCAGGGGUGAACGGCCACACACAAUGUGUGUGAGCUUGUUUAUCUCGCCAUCCUUGGGGAGAUUUUGCUUGGCAUUAAGUUGUCGGGUAAAGGAUACCCAUCGUUUACUGUGAAAAAAUUAGAGUGUUUAAAGCAGGCUUAUGCCGUUGAAUAUAUUAGCAUGGAAUAAUAAGAUAGGACUUUGAGUCUAUUUUGUUGGUUUGCGAGUCAAAGUAAUGAUUAAUAGGGACAGUUGGGGGUAUUCGUAUUUCAUUGUCAGAGGUGAAAUUCUUGGAUUUCUGAAAGACGAACUACUGCGAAAGCAUUUACCAAGGAUGUUUUCAUUAAUCAAGAACGAAAGUUAGGGGAUCGAAGAUGAUUAGAUACCAUCGUAGUCUUAACCAUAAACUAUGCCGACUCAGGAUUGGCGGUUGUUUUUUGACUCCGUCAGCCCUGUAUGAGAAAUCAAAGUCUUUGGGUUCCGGGGGGAGUAUGGUCGCCAGGCUGAAACUUAAAGAAAUUGACCGAAGGGCACCACC